GACGAACGCUGGCGGCGUGCUUAACACAUGCAAGUCGAGCGGUAAGGCCCUUUCGGGGGUACACGAGCGGCGAACGGGUGAGUAACACGUGGGUGACCUGCCCUCAGCUCUGGGAUAAGCCUGGGAAACCGGGUCUAAUACCGGAUAUGACUCCAUGACGCAUGUUGUGGGGUGGAAAGCCUUGUGCGGCUGAGGAUGGGCCCGCGGCCUAUCAGCUUGUUGGUGGGGUGAUGGCCUACCAAGGCGACGACGGGUAGCCGGCCUGAGAGGGCGACGGCCACACUGGGACUGAGACACGGCCCGGACUCCUACUGGAGGCAGCAGUGGGGAAUCUUGCGCAAUGGGCGAAAGCCUGACGCAGCGACGCCGCGUGAGGGAUGACGGCCU
rnacentral:rRNA from 1 species